UCUCAGUCUCUGUCUGUUGGACCAGGCACAGUUAAAGUGAAGGGGAACCGGGAAUCCUUGAGCUUAAAGAAAGGCACCCAAGGAAAAGCCACGAGGAAACAGCACUCUCACCCAAACGGGUUGUCUGAAUCCUGCAGAAAUGAAGUCAAACAACCACGUGUUCCCAAAGCUGCUCCCAGGAAACAUGGACUCAGCUGUGUCUGCACAUGUGUGGAGUCUUCCCGCCCAGGGAACUGAAGCGGUUCACAGUUCUCUGGCUGCUGUCAGUUGCUCAGUAGGCAGUGUAGAUCCUGUGUAGCAAUCAGCAGCUACAUCUGGCUACUGGGUCUCUGACGGCUCUGCCUACUUCCUGGUCAACCAUGCCCAUUCCUCUCCCAUUGGCUGGUGGCACAUUCCUUUCCUCUGAUUGGCUGCGAUGUCAGGGGGGCUCCAUCCUGUGACCCCACACACAGGAUGUUCUCUGUGUCACAACUCCACAAGGGGCCCUUGUUGAGGCUUUGUGUGUGUGUGUGUGUUUUCACUCCUUCCUCUUCCACCAUUCUUCAUUUAAUUCUGCCUGACUCUGGCUCACUAGCUGUCUCCUACGCGCUCGGUGAUGGCGUCUUUGUAUUAAACGUCCUUGGUUAGAGCUAUUUAAGUAAAACUGUGAUGUGAAAAUUAUUUUUGCCAGAAUGAAAGCGUUAAUUGAUGUGUGUUUGAGAAGAGAUGAGGUACCUUUGCUUUGUCCUGAACCUGGCAUACAAUGUAGAUUUCUGUGUGGUUCAAUUCUACAGCUACAUUGUCUGCUGGGUUUCAGGCUAGCAAUAUAAGCAGCUGUUAUGCAACCACCCGGUUCUCAAAACUGUAAGUAUUCAUCUAUUCUGUGUCUCAAAUGCCUGACCCUGACAAUUCAAUAAAAAGAAAAGGCUACCGAGUGACUCGUGCUGUCGUUUGCCACACUGAAUAUCACAUUUGAAGGGAGAGACCAAAUUUUAAGCAGAAUCUGGAAUCUGCAAAAUCUGAAUUGAUUCUGUGUUGCCUCUGUGUCCCACAAGUUAACUCCGAGCAAGACAUGCCAGGAAUAUUCUAAUACCUCACCACAAAGUUGUCUGUCAGACUGGCUCCUUAUUAACAGGACAGCACUGUCUGCCCUGCAGCCAACACACACACGCCUGGGAUUAUUGUAAAACACAUGCAAACCAACAGUGCUUUAGAAAGACAUGCUGUGUCCAUACCUGUGUGCACACACCUGACUCAGUCCAUGGAUCCCAAAGCAACUUCUACAUCUCCUAAGCAUUCAAAGGAAACAUUGUAUUUACUUCAACACGCACUGUUAAACCGUCAAUUUGUUGCAUCUCUGAUUGUUUCUGAUGGCUGCCUCUCUCAGGGGAGUCCACACACACACUGCACACACUGUGAAAACAAAAGACACAAACACAGGUCAACUGACUUUAUAAAUAUAUAUACAGAGAAGCUGAGCCUUUCAAAAAACUCAACAAGAGCAUGACAGCACAUGAAGGGAAUGACAGUGUGUUCAGCAGCUGUACCGCAGCGGCCCAGGUGAGGCUCCACAGCUCAGCAGGCGACGCUGCCGCACAUGACGAGUGUUGUUGUGGCUUAGACAGUGACGCCUUUCUAAUGUAACGCCAGUGAAACAAAUACCACAGUCCAAAAAUGUU